GUGCCAGCCGCCGCGGUAAUACGGAGGGGGUUAGCGUUGUUCGGAAUUACUGGGCGUAAAGCGCGCGUAGGCGGAUUGGAAAGUUGGGGGUGAAAUCCCAGGGCUCAACCCUGGAACUGCCCUCAAAACUCCCAGUCUUGAGUUCGAGAGAGGUGAGUGGAAUUCCGAGUGUAGAGGUGAAAUUCGUAGAUAUUCGGAGGAACACCAGUGGCGAAGGCGGCUCACUGGCUCGAUACUGACGCUGAGGUGCGAAAGUGUGGGGAGCAAACAGGAUUAGAUACCCUGGUAGUCCACACCGUAAACGAUGAAUGCCAGUCGUCGGGCAGCAUGCUGUUCGGUGACACACCUAACGGAUUAAGCAUUCCGCCUGGGGAGUACGGCCGCAAGGUUAAAACUUAAAUGAAUUGACGGGG
rnacentral:rRNA from 1 species